UUACCUGGNUUGAUCCUGCCAGUAGUCAUAUGCUUGUUUCAAAGAUUAAGCCAUGCAUGUCUAAGUACAAGCCUUCCUUAGAGCAAAACCGCAAACGGCUCAUUAAAUCAGUUAUAAUUUAUUGGAUGGUGGUUAUCCGGUACUCGGAUAACCGUGGCAAUUCUAGAGCUAAUACGUGCAACUGAGCUCCGACCCUGGAACGCUUAACGGCGAAUUCGGGGGAAGAGCGCAAUUAUUAGAAUCAUAAACCGAGCGGGCUUUCGAGCUUGAUUAGGUUAUGGUGACUCUAAAUAAUUUUGCUAAGCGAUAAGGCCUUCGAGCCUUCGCUGCAUCUUUCGAGUGACUGCCUUAUCAGUUAGAUUGUAAGCUAAACGCUUACGAUGGCUGUAACGGGUAACGGGGAAUCAGGGUUCGAUUCCGGAGAGGGAGCCUGAGAAACGGCUACCACAUCUAAGGAAGGCAGCAGGCACGCAAAUUACCCACUCCCGGCUCGGGGAGGUAGUGACGAUAAAUAACGAUGCGGGACUCUUCCGAGGCCUCGCAAUCGGAAUGAAUUUACUCUAAAAAAUUGGAUGAGGAUCCAUUGGAGGGCAAGUCUGGUGCCAGCAGCCGCGGUAAUUCCAGCUCCAAUAGCGUAUAUUAAAGUUGCUGCGGUUAAAAAGCUCGUAGUUGGAGUUUCGGUCUGUACCGGCGACCCACCUAAGGCGCGCCCCCGAUGACUUCCUUCUAGUAGAAGAUUGACGAUCGGCGUACUUUUCGCUCGUCCGAUAGACGUGGUAGGACUUUGUCUCCAUAUCCGCGCGACAUCGACGACGGAACCUUACGUCCGAACCCGUUUAUCCUUGAACGAGGGUUGUCUAGUGGGUCUCCGCGGCUGGUGGUAAAACGUCCGGCUACGGAUUUGAUAAAUCCGUCGGCUCUCACGGGGUGCUCUUUACCGAGUGUCUCGCGUGGCCGAUGACGAUCACUUUGAAAAAAUAAGAGUGCUCAAAGCAGGCAAAAAUCUUCGCCUGAAUUAUGAUGCAUUGAAUGAUGGAAAAGGACCUCGGUUCUGCAUAUUUUCUCUCGGUUUAAUUGAACCCGAGGUAAUGACUAACGGGAACGGACGGGGGCAUUAGUAUUGCGACGCUAGAGGUGAAAUUCUUGGACCGUCGCACGACUAACUACUGCGAAAGCAUUUGCCAAGAACGCUUUCAUUAAUCAAGAACGAAAGUUAGAGGAUCGAAGGCGAUCAGAUACCGCCCUAGUUCUAACCUUAAACGAUGCUGACUAGCGAUCCGUUUCAAGUCAUUCCCACGACUUAACGGGCAGCCCCCGGGAAACCUAAGUUUUUAAGUUCCGGGGGAAGUAUGGUUGCAAAGCUGAAACUUAAAGGAAUUGACGGAAGGGCACCACCAGGAGUGGAGCCUGCGGCUUAAUUUGACUCAACACGGGGAACCUCACCAGGCCCAGACACUGGAAGGAUUGACAGAUUGAGAGCUCUUUCUCGAUUCGGUGCAUGGUGGUGCAUGGCCGUUCUUAGUUGGUGGAGCGGUUUGUCUGGUUGAUUCCGAUAACGAACGAGACUCUAUCCUAUUAACUAGUCGGUGGAUCGUUUCCCGAGAAGGGUCCGUUACGGCUGUGUUUCAGGUGCGGGGCUCGGUGGCGUUUCGCCCAUGCCCAGUUCCCUUCCGAGGGUUCUAUCGCGCGCGUUCCUUAGUCGUUCGCGUAGGUGUUCGCGUCGAUGAUGUGCUCGCUCCUUACGGGGUUGAGGCUCUCGGCGCGGCAUCUGCGUUAGGGCGGCGAAAGGUUUCGCGUGUGUCGGAGGUGAGCGUCGCUCCUCGCAUUUUGUAUUCACAACCGCGGAGGACCUAACGAGGGGCGUCCAUCGCAAAGUCUUCUUAGAGGUAUAAACGGUCUCGAACCGUACGAGAGAGAGCAAUAACAGGUCUGUGAUGCCCUUAGAUGUUCUGGGCCGCACGCGCGCUACAAUGCAGGGAGCAGCGUGCUUUCCCCCUCCGAAAGGAGUGGGUAACCAGAUGAAACCCCUUCCCGAUUGGGAUUGGGGCUUGCAAAUGUUUCCCAUGAACGAGGAAUUCCCCGUAAGCGUAAGUCAUUAGCUUGCGAUGAUUACGUCCCUGCCCUUUGUACACACCGCCCGUCGCUACUACCGAUUGAAUGAUUCAGUGAGGGCGUCGGACCAGCGCCCUCGGCAGCUCUGGAGACACCGACCCCCAUAGUGGGAGUCUGGUGGUACUUAUCCAAAGGGCGCCCCGGGCUCGCCGGAAAGACGUCCGAACUUGAUCAUUUAGAGGAAGUAAAAGUCGUAACANGUUGCCGUAGGUGAACUGC
rnacentral:rRNA from 1 species